UACAGAGGUCCCAAGCGUUGUUCGGAUUUACUGGGCGUAAAGGGUGCGUAGGUGGUGAGGUAAGUCUGAUGUGAAAUCUCCGAGCCUAACUCGGAAAUGGCAUUGGAAACUACCUUGCUAGAGGGUUGGAGGGGGGACUGGAAUACUUGGUGUAGCAGUGAAAUGCGUAGAUAUCAAGUGGAACACCAGUGGCGAAGGCGAGUCCCUGGACAACUCCUGACACUGAGGCACGAAAGCUAGGGGAGCAAACAGG
rnacentral:rRNA from 1 species